GAUGAAGAACGUAGCGAAAUGCGAUACGUAAUGUGAAUUGCAGAAUUCAGUGAAUCAUCGAAUCUUUGAACGCAUAUUGCGCUCUCUGGUAUUCCGGAGAGCAUGCUUGUUUGAGUAUCAGUAAACACCUCAACUCCCUUUUCUUUUUUGAAAUUGGAGCUGGACUUGAGUGAUCCCAACGCUUUCUUCCAAGAAAGUGCCGGGUUGCUUGAAAUGCAGGUGCAGCUGAACUUUUCUCUGAGCUAUAAGCAUAUCUAUUUAGUCUGCCUAAAAAACAGAUUAUUACCUUUGCUGCAGCUAACAUAAAGGAGACUAGUUCUUGUGCUGACUGAUGCAGGAUUCACAGAGACAGCUUCGGCUGACUUUGUAAACUCGAUCUCAAAUCAAGUAAGACUACCCGCUGAACUUAAGCAUAUCAAUAAGCGGAGGA
rnacentral:misc_RNA from 1 species